UACAUGGGGUGCAAACGUUGCUCGGAAUCAUUGGGCGUAAAGCGCGCGUAGGCGGUUACUUAAGUCGAAUGUGAAAGCCCUCGGCUUAACCGAGGAAGUGCAUCCGAAACUGAGUAGCUAGAGUACGAAAGAGGGUCGCGGAAUUCCCGGUGUAGAGGUGAAAUUCGUAGAUAUCGGGAGGAACACCGGUGGCGAAGGCGGCGACCUGGGUCGAUACUGACGCUGAUGCGCGAAAGCGUGGGGAGCAAACAGG
rnacentral:rRNA from 1 species